rnacentral:rRNA from 1 species
AGGAUGAACGCUGGCCGUGCUUAACACAUGCAAGUCGAACGGUGAACCAGGGGCUUGCCUCUGGGGAUCAGUGGCGAACGGGUGAGUAACACGUGAGCAACCUACCCCCGAUCUCUGGGAUAAGCGCUGGAAACGGCGUCUAAUACUGGAUAUGAGCUCCUGCCGCAUGGUGGGGGUUGGAAAGAUUUUUCGGUUCGGGAUGGGCUCGCGGCCUAUCAGCUUGUUGGUGAGGUAAUGGCUCACCAAGGCGUCGACGGGUAGCCGGCCUGAGAGGGUGACCGGCCACACUGGUACUGAGACACGGCCCAGACUCCUACGGGAGGCAGCAGUGGGGAAUAUUGCACAAUGGGCGCAAGCCUGAUGCAGCAACGCCGCGUGAGGGAUGACGGCCUUCGGGUUGUAAACCUCUUUUAGCAGGGAAGAAGCGGAAGUGACGGUACCUGCAGAAAAAGCGCCGGCUAACUACGUGCCAGCAGCCGCGGUAAUACGUAGGGCGCAAGCGUUAUCCGGAAUUAUUGGGCGUAAAGAGCUCGUAGGCGGUUUGUCGCGUCUGCUGUGAAAACCCGAGGCUCAACCUCGGGCCUGCAGUGGGUACGGGCAGACUAGAGUGCGGUAGGGGAGAUUGGAAUUCCUGGUGUAGCGGUGGAAUGCGCAGAUAUCAGGAGGAACACCGAUGGCGAAGGCAGAUCUCUGGGCCGUAACUGACGCUGAGGAGCGAAAGGGUGGGGAGCAAACAGGCUUAGAUACCCUGGUAGUCCACCCCGUAAACGUUGGGAACUAGUUGUGGGGUCCUUUCCACGGAUUCCGUGACGCAGCUAACGCAUUAAGUUCCCCGCCUGGGGAGUACGGCCGCAAGGCUAAA